GUCAGGGUGGCGGAACUGGUAGACGCGCUAGAUUCAGGAUCUAGUGGGCUAACGCUCAUAGGGGUUCAAUUCCCCUCCUUGACACCA
rnacentral:tRNA from 1 species